rnacentral:rRNA from 1 species
AGGGUUCGAUUCUGGCUCAGGACGAACGCUGGCGGCGUGCCUAACACAUGCAAGUCGAGCGGAGAUAGGGCUUCGGUCCUAUUUCAGCGGCGGACGGGUGAGUAACGCGUGAACAAUCUGUCCUAUACAGGGGGAUAACACUUGGAAACAGGUGCUAAUACCGCAUAAGCCCACAGCCCGGCAUCGGGCAGGGGGAAAAGGGGAGACUCGGUAUAGGGUGAGUUCGCGUCCCAUUAGCUAGUUGGCGGGGUGAAGGCCCACCAAGGCGACGAUGGGUAGCCGACCUGAGAGGGUGAUCGGCCACACUGGAACUGAGAAACGGUCCAGACUCCUACGGGAGGCAGCAGUGGGGAAUAUUGGGCAAUGGGGGGAAAAACCCCUGACCCAGCAACGCCGCGUGAGGGAAGAAGGCUUUCGGGUCGUAAACCUCUGUCCCAUGGGAAGAGCAGAAGACGGUACCAUGGGAGGAAGCCCCGGCUAACUACGUGCCAGCCGCCGC